AGUUCACUAAGAGGGUGAAGCUGUUGUUGAUGCCAGCAAAACACCAGCCAGACCUGCUACUCUUGCGGCAUGUGCCUCUGACCAGGGUCCACCUCUUCACAGCCAUCCAGCUUGCCUGUCUGGGGCUGCUUUGGAUAAUCAAGUCUACCCCUGCAGCCAUCAUCUUCCCCCUCAUGUUGUUGGGCCUUGUGGGGGUCCGAAAGGCCCUGGAGAGGGUCUUCUCACCACAGGAACUCCUCUGGCUGGAUGAGCUGAUGCCAGAGGAGGAGAGAAGCAUCCCUGAGAAGGGGCUGGAGCCAGAACACUCAUUCAGUGGAAGUGACAGUGAAGAUGUGAGCUCCAGGCUGGGUCCUCUCAGGAGAAUGUGUCAGGGUUUGGGAGAGCGUUCUUGUCCAGGAGCUGUCCCUAAAUAAUAUCUCCAUCAGAGCUGAUGUAUCAGCCAAAGGCUCCAGAAAUCAACAUUUCUGUGAAUUAGCUGGAGUAGGAGUCUGGGAGUGGAGACCCCAGGAAACAGCAUGAGUUCACAGGUGCUUACUCAGGAAGUCAGGACAUUUUUGGCCUUUGGCUUAACUUCCAGAUGCUCAGUCGGCUUGGGGAAGGACUGAAGGGCAGCUGCCAAGACCUCAGUUACCUCCUGACCUGAGGGUGGAGAGUGGCAGGAAGCAAGCAUGUUUGCUGUG
rnacentral:sRNA from 1 species